GAUGAACGCUAGCGGCAGGCUUAACACAUGCAAGUCGAGGGGCAACACGGGUAGCAAUACCUGGUGGCGACCGGCGCAAGGGUGCGUAACGCGUGAGCAACAUGCCCUAUACAGGGGGAUAAUCCAGGGAAACUUGGUCUAAUAUCCCAUAGUAUUUAGAGGUGGCAUCACCACCAAAUUAAAGCUUCGGUGGUAUAGGAUUGGCUCGCGUGACAUUAGCUGGAUGGUGGGGUAACGGCUCACCAUGGCGAUGAUGUCUAGGGGUUCUGAGAGGAAGACCCCCCACACUGGGACUGAGACACGGCCCAGACUCCUACGGGAGGCAGCAGUGAGGAAUAUUGGACAAUGGAUGGAAAUCUGAUCCAGCCAUGCCGCGUGCAGGAAGACGGCCCUAUGGGUUGUAAACUGCUUUUAUAUGGGAGCAAUAAGGUUUACGCGUAGACCGAUGAGAGUACCAUAUGAAUAAGCAUCGGCUAACU
rnacentral:rRNA from 1 species